GUCUACGGCUAUGCUACCCUGAACAAGCCCAAUCCUGUCUGAUCUCGGAAGCUAAGGAGGGUUGGGCCUGGUUAGUGCCUGGAUGGGAGACCAGGAAGACCAGGUACUGUAGGUG
rnacentral:rRNA from 1 species